ensembl:lncRNA
AUGUUAAUGCAACUUUAUGUAUUUUGGUCAAAUUGUUUAGCUGCUAAAGAGGAGACAGCUUUGAAGGUCCUGCCAACUCUGCUUCCCCCAUCCAUCUACAGGAGAGGAGGAAAGGUCUUCAGACCCACCACAGAGGAGGCCCUGAAGUCAUUUAUUGACAUGCAACUUGUUGGGACCAACAUGGUUGAAUAUUUAAACCAUGAGAUGACUGGAGCAUUGCUGCACAUUCUGUGCCUCAGUGAUGAGACAAGGGGGACAUCACAGACCUCUGCCAUUAUUCCAGGCCACGCCAUUGAGACUGAGUCUUUGUUGGAGGCGGUUGAUCUUUGCUUUAAAGCUUUUUUUGUUUUUGAUGUUCAGUACACCAAGCAGUGUCUCCCCACCUGGGAGUUUCUCCAGCAUGCUGUAUAUCAAAUUGAAGGAAAAGAGUCCUCCUCUGUAAAGUUUUUGAGAACAACAGUGGUUUCAGGGCCACAUGAUAUUUAGAUGAUUUUAAAAUCUAUUUUGUUCCUGUUCUUAAAUCAACACAUCUUAAUAAAUUAAAUUGUAAUCGUAUGAGAGUUCAAAUUAAUUGUUUAAUGACUUUUAAUGCCUGAAUAUUUGGACAGAUUUACAUUUGUUAUAAAGUCUGUGGGGAAGGGUGAAUGUCAGAGGGUGUGUGGGUGGGGGUUGGGAUGGGGGGGUAAAGAAUGUAUUCAAUAUUGUAUACAAACAAAGUAUUAAAGAAAUGUAUUGUUUUUAAAGAAAUAAUGUUUUAAAUUAAAUGAGAUUGAAAUCACAUAUACAUGGCCUCUGGUUUAUUGUAUUACAGAGACAAUUAUUAUUUUACAUUCGUAAUAUAAAAUAUAUUUGUAACUAAUGAAUAAAGGCAGUGAGACAGGAAAUAAUCUAUUUAUUAUUAAAUAAUAACUAUUUAUUUGACUAAACUAUUUGUUUGACUUAACCCAGCAAGAGGGUUAAUUUUACCCACUGGUUGGGUCAAAUGAAUGACCCAGUAAUAUGGGUUAAACGGUAAAACCCAGCACUUGGGUCAAACCAACCCAGCGCGUGUUCUGUCCAAUAGUGACCCAGCAGCGUGGUUAAGGUUGGGUUAUUUUUUAACCCAGCAGUUUUUAGAGUGUAGCGACGUGGUCAGCUGGUCUUCAGAUAACUUUCAAUAUUAUUGCAUUAGAUGUAUUAUUAUUAUUUAGAUACCAUUUGAACAGCAUAUUCUUUGAGAAAUAUACAAAAAAUUAAUCAAACAUGUUAAAAGAAUUGUAUAUAUAUAUAUAUAUAUGCCAUCAGUUUAAGAACAAUAAAAUAAAAUAAAUAAUGUACUUAGCAAAUGGUGAUAAUGUUUGUUAAUGAAAGAGAGUACGGGACAAAUGAACAUUUAAACCUUAAACUAGCAGCGCACGUCACUUUCUGAGUGAAGUGCGCGACGUGCGCGAGCCCGUCAUUUUGUAACGGUCAACUUCCAGGGGACGGACACGGAGGAAAGGUAAGCGCUAUAAAUCUACUUUUAUUCAUAGAUUUUAAAUGAUAUAACGUUAAAUGCCAUCAAAGAGGAGUAGUGUUUUGUAUUUUUGUAGGUUUUCUCUUUCAAUUUAAUAAAUAAAUGCUCUGUUUGGUUAAUUAGCUCAAAAGCAGUCUCAUAGGUGGUCUAAGGUAACGUUAACUGUUAAAAUCGAAUAUACAACCUUACCUGUUUUAAAUUAUUUGAAAUGUAACACUAUAAACUAUACAGUAUUCACUUUCGAAUUAUU